UACGGAGGGUGCAAGCAUUGAUCGGAAUUACUGGGCGUAAAGGGCGCGUAGGCGGCUUUUUAAGUCAGAUGUGAAAUUCCGGGGCUCAACCCCGGAGCUGCAUUUGAAACUAGGGAGCUAGAGUAUAGUUAGGGUAAACGGAAUUCCACGUGUAGCGGUGAAAUGCGUAGAUAUGUGGAAGAACACCGGUGGUGAAGACGGUUUACUGAGCUAUAACUGACGCUGAGGCGCGAAAGCAUGGGGAGCAAACAGG
rnacentral:rRNA from 1 species